CCUACGGGUGGCAGCAGUGAGGAAUAUUGGUCAAUGGCCGUAAGGCUGAACCAGCCAAGUCGCGUGAAGGAAGAAGGAUCUAUGGUUUGUAAACUUCUUUUAUAGGGGAAUAAAGGUAUCCACGUGUGGAUAUUUGCAUGUACCCUAUGAAUAAGCAUCGGCUAACUCCGUACCAGCAGCCGCGGUAAUACGGGGGAUGCGAGCGUUAUCCGGAUUUAUUGGGUUUAAGGGGUGCGCAGGCGGAAGAUCAAGUCCGCGGUAAAAUUGAGAGGUUAAACCUCUUCGAGCCGUUGAAACUGGUAUUCUUGAGUGAGGGAGAAGGAUGCGGAAUGCGUGGUGUAGCGGUGAAAUGCGUAGAUAUCACGCAGAACUCCGAUGGCGAAGGCAGCAUACCGGCGCUCAACUGACGCGCAUGCACGAAAGUGUGGGUAUCGAACAGGAUUAGAUACCCCGGUAGUC
rnacentral:rRNA from 1 species